UACGUAGGUGGCAAGCGUUGUCCGGAAUUAUUGGGCGUAAAGCGCGCGCAGGUGGUUUCUUAAGUCUGAUGUGAAAGCCCACGGCUCAACCGUGGAGGGUCAUUGGAAACUGGGGAACUUGAGUGCAGGAGAGAAGAGUGGAAUUCCACGUGUAGCGGUGAAAUGCGUAGAGAUGUGGAGGAACACCAGUGGCGAAGGCGACUCUUUGGCCUGUAACUGACACUGAGGCGCGAAAGCUAGGGGAGCGAACAGG
rnacentral:rRNA from 1 species